AUCAUUUAUUCUUCACCGUCGUGGGCUUUGUUAACGUGUUUAGAGUCUGGGCUGUAAAAUUUCGAACUGUGUUCGGCCCGAAAGAAUAGAAGUCGCCUCUAACCCUAAUCAGCUGUAGACAAGAAGGAGUCCUACGGCGACUCGAUGCCGUUUGCACUUCUUCUCACCAUCUUAAACGGUCCGAGUAAAAGCUUCGUGAUUAAUCCCAUCUGCCAGAACAUUUCUUCUGUGUUCUGAAACGAAAACAAUGGAGUGCUUCGUACCAUGACUGAUUACCUGUUGAGAUACUCGGGAAGUAGUCGCGCCGGUUGCGACUAAACCGGAUUGGAGAUGGGUUUUGGUUGAGUAAAGAAGGGAACGGGAGAAUGAACGGAGAAAAAGCGGCGUUGAGACGGCCGAAGACGAUGUGGAGAGGGUUGUAGAGUGGAGAAUGGGGAGAGUCACGGUGGAUCAGCUGGAGGUUAGGUUUUGCAAGCGAGCUGAAGAGGAGGAAAUGAAGAAGGCGAUGAUAGUUAAGAGAAAACAGUAGAAGAUGGAAGUUUGGAUUACCUUUUUGAUGAUUUUUAGGAAGAUUUGUAGGGAAGUGAGUGAAAGUUUGCAUGGGUUUUUAAACAGCACAAAAAGUUUGUUGAGAAGGUGAUGAACAGAGCUUCAGUUUUCAUUAAGAUUUUGCUAAGUUAUUAAGAAGUUUAAAGUCGGUGUGGGGAUGUUUAACGGCUGAUAACCAAAAUUUUAGAUCUUUGACUCUGAACUUGAUUCUCAACAUCUCGAGUGUGUGUAUAUCUUGAGUUUGAUUUGGUAAAGAUGUGAUUUUUAUGUCUUGA